rnacentral:rRNA from 1 species
AGAUUGAACGCUGGCGGCAGGCCUAACACAUGCAAGUCGAGCGGCAGCACGGGUACUUGUACCUGGUGGCGAGCGGCGGACGGGUGAGUAAUGCCUAGGAAUCUGCCUGGUAGUGGGGGGAUAACGCUCGGAAACGGACGCUAAUACCGCAUACGUCCUACGGGAGAAAGCAGGGGACCUUCGGGCCUUGCGCUAUCAGAUGAGCCUAGGUCGGAUUAGCUAGUUGGUGAGGUAAUGGCUCACCAAGGCGACGAUCCGUAACUGGUCUGAGAGGAUGAUCAGUCACACUGGAACUGAGACACGGUCCAGACUCCUACGGGAGGCAGCAGUGGGGAAUAUUGGACAAUGGGCGAAAGCCUGAUCCAGCCAUGCCGCGUGUGUGAAGAAGGUCUUCGGAUUGUAAAAGCACUUUAAGUUGGGAGGAAGGGCAAGUUACCUAAUACGUAUCUGUUUUGACGUUACGACAGAAUAAGCACCGGCUAACUCUGUG